rnacentral:misc_RNA from 1 species
AAGUCGUAACAAGGUAACCGUAGGUGAACCUGCGGUUGGAUCAUUAUAAAAUGAUUAAUGCAAGUCGCGAGUGGGCAACUACUCUGCUGACGGCAUUUCACACCUCUGUGCACUAAAAUAGUAUCGGGUCUAGGUAAAGCUGGUCUUUUGAACGGCGGAGCUUAGGCCCAACAACGGUUUCGACCGUAUAAACAACUUUAUAAUUUGACUGACUUUUGUUUCUAACGAAUCAAAAACAACUUUUAACAACGGAUCUCUUGGCUCAC